UUGGGUUUAAAGGGUCCGCAGGCGGUCAAUUAAGUCAGAGGUGAAAUCCCAUAGCUUAACUAUGGAACUGCCUUUGAUACUGGUUGACUUGAGUCAUAUGGAAGUAGAUAGAAUAAGUAGUGUAGCGGUGAAAUGCAUAGAUAUUACUUAGAAUACCGAUUGCGAAGGCAGUCUACUACGUGUAUACUGACGCUCAUGGACGAAAGCGUGGGGAGCAAACAGGAUUAGAUACCCUGGUAGUCCACGCCGUAAACGAUGGACACUAGUUGUUGGAAUUAUUCAGUGACUAAGCGAAAGUGAUAAGUGUCCCACCUGGGGAGUACGAUCGCAAGAUUGAAACUCAAAUGAAUUGACGGGGGCCCGCACAAGCGGUGGAGCAUGUGGUUUAAUUCGAUGCAACGCGAAGAACCUUACCUACUCUUGACAUACUAGAAACUUUUCAGAGAUGAAUUGGUGCCUUCGGGAAUCUAGAUACAGGUGCUGCAUGGCU
rnacentral:rRNA from 1 species